rnacentral:lncRNA from 1 species
CAAAGUACUAGUUAGAUGACAUACCUUUUGAUGUAGCUUGAUGUCUUCAAGCUUUAAGAGCUUAGCCCCAAUAGUGUGGAAGCCUCAAAUGGAAUCACAAAUCACCAAAACACCUUGGAAGACUUUAGAGAAUAUGGAUACUUGGUUCUCUCUAGUGAAAUUGGCUAGCCCUUCUUAGUGUACCACACUAGUGCCAAUUUCACCAACCAAGGACAUCUUUAUAUAGUGUGGAGGAUUAGGGUUAAACCCUAAUACCCAUGACCUUUCAUUUCCUAGGAUCCAUGGGUUAAACACUCCAUGGACUAUCCAUGAAAGCUUAGCCCAACCUAAAUGAACUUGGCCCAUUCCAUAUAUAUAAGAGUCCAUAUUUAAUUAGUUCCUUUUGAUCACUUAAUUAAUUAUAAAUUAAUUCUUGAUCAAUACUAAUUAAAUAAUAUGAUUCCAUAUUAAUAUAUUAGAACUUAUAAUAUAUUAAUAUUAAUCAUAAACAUACUAUUCUCAAAAGAUUAUCCAUAUAAAUUGUGUCGGUGAAGUGCAACCCAAAUGGACCAUGCCGGGUCGGGUCAAGUACAUACCAAAUAUAGUUAUGGACUUAGACAUUAAUCCAACAGUCUCCCACUUGGAUAAGUCUAAAACUAUUAUUGCGUAUGACUUCAAACCUAACUGGCAAUCGUAGCUCUUAAAGCCGCUGUCGAACUCUGAUCUUGUCAACGAACUUGUCCAUUAGAUAAGGGAUCAUAUAUUCCUCCAUUCUAGAUAUCAUAUGGACUGAGACAUGGAUUAUAAUCAUUCUCUCUGUCCAUUUGUUGUUUCCCGAUUUCCGAUUUAUGACGACUGACUAAUUGAACAAAUCAAAUCAGUCCUGGCCCGGCCGAGCACUUCCAUUUGUCAUCAUCAAAUCAUCGAGGGGCCCACAGAUAUCGCUUUUAUCCCGAAGGUAAAAGGAAUGGAUAAACUUCGACUCAUAUGGCUUGUUCUACUACUUGUUGAAUCAUACACAAAGGCACGUUUUAUAGCACCGAGUUACCAAAUGCGUUUUCGUGCAAUCAAUGUACAACCAACUCAUAGUAACAACUCAUAUCUCUAGGUUUGAAGAAUAUAAGAUAUUAUCGUCUCAUGAUCACUCGUGAUAAAAUCCAUGAAGUGAUUCCAAUGAGCGCGGGUUGAAUCCAAUACUCAGAACUUAUGAGCACUCAUGAGUGUUGUAGCCCUUUGUCCAACACCUUAGACCUCUACAAGCCAACCCAUGACAGUCUUAAUUCAUAUCUACUUCCAACAUAUGACCGACUGUGGAUGGUUUGAAUAACUUAGUCAUUCCGGAAGAAUAACCUAGUUUAUUCGGGAAGUCAAAACAUGCAAAGUGAAACACAAUAAUAAUUGAAUCCAAUAUGGUAUCAAAACUUAUGAACAUAAAUAAAACACCUUUUAUUUAUCACCAUAUGAUUACACAUUAUUCAUUGUAUACUGUUUCAGCUAUCAACUUUAUUCUUGAAUUUAAAACAAUAGUUGUCCCAUGCUCCAAGCAUGUACACUAUGUUUUCUUAAACACUAGUCAUGCCACACACCAAGUAUGCAUACUAUGUUUGUCUAUGAUCUUUACUUUGUGAACUAGAUCAAUUGAACAUAACUUCAAUGAUUCUCUUUUCACACUCCCAAAUCCUUACUGCAAAUGCAAGAAUUCCAAAUUCAUGCCAUUUACUGAAAUCUGUUAGAUUCUAAACUUAUAUGCAUUGAUCCUCUUGUAAUGAUUAUGCACAAAGUCAGAAAGACUUGACAACAAUCAUUACAGAGUAUUCCAAAGGAGAUCAGCUCCUUGGAAACAUCCUUCUUGCAUUAAGUUUCCUAAUCUUAAACAGAUUGAAAAUUCUAACUUUGAAACAUUUCCAGAUUCCAUUUUGACUAUCACUUCUGAACAAGAGUUGCCUCCUUACAGAUUAUGUCAAUAUGGUCCUUCCAGAAUUAUCACUAUACUUCCAACUGUCCUUGAGCAACCAAUCUUUGGUAAACCUUAGAUUGUCCUCGACAAUUGUUUAAUCCUUUUAGUCAUAUCCAGUUCUAAACCUUUUCCCUUCUUAAUGCCCCAGGCAUUUGGAAAAUUUUAGAACGGAUGAAUAUAGCACAUGUAAUCGAUCCUAUAUCCGAAGCAUAUGGGACACGAUUCAUGAUGUCUCACAUAAAGACUAAACCAGUCUUUUGCUAUAAUAUUUCCAUUUCAAUUUGCCAAGUUCUCAUAAUUCAGAUUAUGAAAAGGGAUGCCGUAAUCAUAAUCGAAUUUUAGAACGCAAAUAAUGGACCCAUAUACAGAAUUUCCUUAUGUUGAGCCAUUCCAACAUGAAAUUCAUAUAUAUCCUUGACUAAAUGAUUAAAACCUCACGAUCUAAGCUUAUAGAUUUGAGAUGAAGCAUAAUUUCCUCUCCCUUAAUUAUAGCAAAACAACUUUUUCCCAAUUGAAACUUUUGUUUUCUAUAAUUAACAUUGCUAACUUGCAAUACUUAUCAUAAUUAUCAUGCUCCCACUAACAUGAUGAUUAUUAGCAUAACACUUAUGCUCCCACUAGCUUUGACAUGUACUCAGAAAUCAGCUGGACUUCUAGAAAUCAAUACUUCAUUGACUUUCUUACCAAAGUUCAGAUUUCUGAUACUAGAUUGUUUUGAUAAAACUUUAUCAAAAUCAUACACCUUCCCUUAGAUAGCACACUUGUGUAUCUAAACAAUUAUGAAGAGGGAUGCCGUAAUCAUAAUGUUUAGACCUUUUUGCCACUUCUCACAAGUCCAAAUUAGUGUGCCGGUUAACCACACGCGCUCCACUAACGACUUUGAGAAUGCAAAUAUCACAAUUGCUAUCUAGCUAAAAUCUACUUAGUGAAAGUGUUUCCUCACCAUCAUUUUCAUGAAUCGGAGAGAAACCUUAUGACACUUAGAUUUAAUGGUGUAUGUGUUCUUAUCCAUGUGAAUUGUCAAAAUCAUAGUCACAAGACAAGGAUAAUGACAAAUCCAAACUCAUAUGGACUGAACUCAAUCUUAAUUUCUUGCCACCUGGCAGCUCAAGGGCCUACCAUUGCUUCCAAGUUGUUGUGCAACAAAUUGAGAACUCUAAGAACUCAUAUGCAAAGCCAACUUUAACUGGAAUGGGCACAGAAUAUGUCAACACGAUAGGUUAUGAACCUCAAGUUGUGUGCUAGUGAAGAACUUUAGGUUUUAUUCUUGAUUAGUUCUUGAGACUUUCAAGACCUUUAAGACUCCCACUGACCUCUUGACCUAUAAGACUCCCUUGUCAAAUAUCCAAGAGAUAGUGUGGAUUCUAAUCAAGACAAACACUUCACACAAUUGGCCUAAGUUGGUCUUUGUUUUAUCCAAAACAUCACAACUUACCAAUUUCAAAUGUACAAGAGUAGAAAACUUUUACUCUUACAUUUGACAAGUGUUUUAAACCUUCUUUAAGACAUGUCACUCAAGUUACAAUCUUGGAGUAUGACUCUAAGACUUGUAUUGGAACGAAGUAUGACUCAUCUUCUUGAUUUAACCAUUUCAACAAUUCAAGAUCCUCUUCUUAGUCAUAAGAAUGCACUAAGAUUUCCUUAGAGAACUAAUUUUGAUAUGGUUUCUUAAUCAUUAAGAUGAUCACAAAACUGAUACUAAAGUACUCUCCCAUCUUUUCAGAUUUGAGAAACUUUUAUCCUUCUGCCUAAUUUGAUUCUUCUUAUUCGCCCUGCCAUACAUUGGAACCUUUUCCAAUGUCUCAGAGUUACACUUAAGCUUGUAAGUAUAAUCAUAUUUACUGAGCUUUAGUAAACUAUGACGAAUAGUCUUAUCAAUCUUUUGUGGUGGACUUAAUCAGUGCACAAGAAUGUGUACUCGAUCCCUUAGUCCUUUACUUGACUCACACAUCCAUGUGGCCGAGUAAUUAGUCUUAAUUUUCCAAAACUUGAAAGUUCUCAUUCAUCAUGCUAUACAACUUGCAUGAUUCCAAGUUCCGGUCCAAUUGAAACUUGGGUGAUGAGAAUCUUUCCUUAUUUGGUAAAUCUAGACAUUACCACAAAUGAAAGAAUCAAUUUCAUAUUUCCACUCUUGCUCUUAAUGGAAUCAUAUAAGCAACAAUUUUUCCUCAAAUGCCAUUGUAAGGAUAUUUUAAAAUAAAUAAAAUCAAAAAUUUUCUUUUAUUUUAAAACUUUGCGGAAAAACUUAUCCUUACAAUCCAUAUGAAAACUUGUUGUUAUCUAUUCCUAAGCAAUAUCUCAUAACUCCUAAGAAGUUGCUCAAGAAUCCGAUCUUCAAACUAUGCGAUAGAAAUCCAUCUACGCCAUCAGAUUCAGCAUAUUCUUUCUUUAAGUUUCUUCACUUUUCUUUGAUUCUUAAAACAUCACCAUGUGACCCAGUCACAUCAUGUAUCAGGAAUCUCAGAAUAGAAACUUAACAGAGUUAGAUAGUGGUCUUUACCUGAAGUAGAGUCAAACUUAUUGACUUUAACAUCCUUAGGUAAAUUUGGCAGCUUCGCAACCAAUGCCCCUUCCCUUGGCAAUAUAAACAUAUGGACCCUUUGAUAAUGGUACACGAGACUAUCACAGACUUAGCUUUUCUCUUUACCAUUUGGUCAACCGAGUUGACUAUGGCCGAUCCCUUUCCAUUGGGAAGAGAAUGCUUUACUGGAUAUCCAAUGUCAUCAUUGUCAAUGUCCAUAAAGUUUUAGGAAGUUGAUCUUAGCAAAUAGAUAAGAUCAUUAAGGGUCUUGUCAUAGUCUGUUUCAUAGGUGUCCCAAAGGAACUCACUAUGUGACUUAGAAAGUGAUUGAACCACCAACUUUCUCAAGACUUUGACACCCAACUCUCCCGGCUUGUCAAUAUGUGACUACAUCUCCAAGAUGUGAUCACACCUAGACCUUGCCUUGCCAAUAGGGCUUGAGUGACCUUAAACUUUUCAAGAACUUGUGGGUUAGGGAGAAUAAUUGGAGGAGGUGAAAGAAGUAUGAUUUCCAAAGGACAUCAUCUUCAUUUAGGAAACCUUGUUUCACUAGAUUUGGGAAGAUCAUAGGUGUCUAUUACAGACAUCUUUUGGGAGAUAUUCAAGAUAGUUGAUUUAAAGUCCUUAAUAUGACACCCAAUAUGAAAUAUUAAGGCUAGGACCCAACAAACUAUUUUAUAACUUAGAAGAGGUAUGCCGUAAUCCAAGCUAUAAAAUAUUUGAAGGUAGGUGAAUGACGAUUCACCAAUUUCCACCAAGAUAAACGAAAUGUAUUAUUAGGUUUUAAUUGGUUUUGAAACUCCUAGAUCUUUGAGAUUCAUUGAACUGUUCAAAGGCAUGUUUCAAUCUCGAGUGUGCCCUUCAGGUUUUGUGACUGGGAUGCCGAGGAUCACAAAACAAGGUGUGAAGUAACCAUGCAAAUCACUUGGUACCCUUAAUAAAUUACCCCUCAAUCGAUGUGCCGGUUAACCACACACGCUCCAUCGAUACUAUGAUAAAUAUUAAGUCACCCUUUACCUACCUUGUUAAGUCCAAGUUAGUGUGCCGGUUAACCACACACGCUCCACUAACGACUUAGACAAAGUGUAAAGUGUAAUUUCAUGGAUUAGCACCUUAUUCACAUUUUUCCUAAGUAACUAAGAUUGGGUAUUAUUAAGAGUUUAGUUACUUAGUAUUAUCAUUAAUACUUUUAAUGAAGGGAGAAUUCUAGUCCUGUCAAACCCGUUCGGCUAACGACCCUCCACCAGUCAAGCAAGCGGUGGGUGAGAGUGGACACCCAUUAAGUUGCCAUUUUAUAGGCAACAACCUUAUACCCACCUUAUAGACCGGCUUCGUGAAUGAGGCGUACUAGCGGUAAGACUGACUUUACUCUUAUACAUAUAUAUAUUAUUAACUUAUAAUAUUAUAAAGUAUAAGGGUUGAAUUUUAACUUUUAAAAUUCUAAGGGCUAACUUGGAAUUAAAGUAUUCAUAAGUGAAAACUUUACAAAUUCCAAAACUUGAGGGCAAGUUUUGAAACUAUUCAAAACUAAUUAAUUCCAUAACUUAUGUGUUUAAAGUAGUUUUAAUCCAAAAACUCUUCAAGUUCCAUAACUUGAGGACAAGUUAUGGAAGACUUUAAACUAAUAAAAGAAUUAACUUUUCUUUAUUUUAUAACUUAUGGAAUUAAUUAAGGUUACACUUUUUUUUUUUUUAUUUUAUUUUAUUAAAUGAAGAGACUCUUGGUCCUCCAUAACUUGAGGACAAGUUAUGGAGUCAUAAAACCAUUUAAUUAGAACUAGACUCUUCAUUUUUGUAACCUUUGCCAAUUUUUAUGAGUUUUAUGAUUCUUAAAUGUGACUUUUCAUAUAACUUGAGGACAAGUUACAAAAACACAUUUUAGAAUCAAUUCUUAGAUUAAUUUGGAUUAAAACCAACUAUCACAUAAUUUUAUUCAUUAAUCUAAAUUCACUCAUAAAACAAGGUAACACAAAAAACUUUUGGUGAUCCAUAACUUAUUCUUAAGUUAUGGAAUCCUUUAAAACAUUAACACCAAAUUUUGUAACUCCAAAAAAACUUUGAAUCAAUUUUUUUUUUAAAACCUUUUCAUAUCCAUAACUUAUGGAGGUUUCAAAAAAUAAAACUCUUUAGAUCAAACUUUUAAAACUAAUAAAAUAAUCAUAUUAUUUUAUCUUUUAUUAAAUUUGACCUAAUUCAACUCAUAAAGCAAAUUAUUCAAAUUUUACAAAUAAUUAGUUUUUCACAAGAACAAGUAAUUAUCUUAAAAUUUGACAAACUUCAUGUUUUUUUUUUUUUUUUUUUUCAACUUUGAAAAUAAAAUAUUUGCAUCAAUAUAACAGAAAACAACCCGUGGCUCUGAUACCACUGUUGGGUUUUGAGCAUUCUAACACUCCUAUGGUGUACAUGCAACCCUAUAAACCUUGGAUCUAUGUUUUCUCUAUAAUACAUGCAAAUAAGAACUUUCCAAGGCUUUAAUCCUAACUAGCAUAUUAUGAAGUUCUUAUACUACAAAGUACUAGUUAGAUGACAUACCUUUUGAUGUAGCUUGAUGUCUUCAAGCUUUAAGAGAUUAGCCCCAAUAGUGUGGAAGCCUCAAAUGGAAUCAAAAAUCACCAAAACACCUUGGAAGACUUUAGAGAAUAUGGAUACUUGGUUCUCUCUAGUGAAAUUGGCUAGCCCUUCUUAGUGUACCACACUAGUGCCAAUUUCACCAACCAAGGACAUCUUUAUAUAGUGUGGAGGAUUAGGGUUAAACCCUAAUACCCAUGACCUUUCAUUUCCUAGGAUCCAUGGGUUAAACACUCCAUGGACUAUCCAUGAAAGCUUAGCCCAACCUAAAUGAACUUGGCCC